rnacentral:rRNA from 1 species
CACGUAGGGCGCAAGCGUUGUCCGGAAUUAUUGGGCGUAAAGAGCUCGUAGGCGGUCUGUUACGUCUGCUGUGAAAACCCAGGGCUUAACCCUGGGCUUGCAGUGGAUACGGGCAGACUAGAGGCAGGUAGGGGAGAAUGGAAUUCCCGGUGUAGCGGUGAAAUGCGCAGAUAUCAGGAGGAACACCGGUGGCGAAGGCGGGUCUCUGGGCAGUAACUGACGCUGAGGAGCGAAAGCAUGGGGAGCGAACAGG